rnacentral:rRNA from 1 species
GCGCGAUUGGAGCGGCCGAUGGCAGAUUAGGUAGUUGGUGAGGUAAAGGCUCACCAAGCCGUCGAUCUGUAGCUGGUCUGAGAGGACGACCAGCCACACUGGGACUGAGACACGGCCCAG